rnacentral:rRNA from 1 species
CCUACGGAGGCAGCAGUAGGGAAUUUUGCGCAAUGGGCGAAAGCCUGAAGCAGCAACACCGCGUGAAUGUUAAGCCCUUCGGGGUGUAAAGUUCUGUCAAUAGGGACGAAUUUUGACUGUACCUAUAAAGGAAGCACCGGCUAACUCCGUGCCAGCAGCCGCGGUAAUACGGGGGGUGCAAGCGUUGUCCGGAAUCAUUGGGCGUAAAGCGUGCGUAGGCGGGCAGGUAAGUCUGAUGUUAAAGCCCGGGGCUCAACUCCGGUUCGGCAUUGGAUACUAUCUAGCUAGAAUGUGGUAGAGGUAAAGGGAAUUCCUGGUGUAGCGGUGAAAUGCGUAGAUAUCAGGAGGAACAUCGGUGGCGAAAGCGCUUUACUGGACCAUUAUUGACGCUGAGGAACGAAAGCCAGGGGAACAAAUGGGAUUAGAUACCCCAGUAGUC